UACGUAGGGGGCAAGCGUUGUCCGGAAUCAUUGGGCGUAAAGCGCGUGUAGGCGGCCCGGUAAGUCCGCUGUGAAAGUCCAGAGCUCAACCCUGGAAUGCCGGUGGAUACUGUCGGGCUCGAGUCCGGAAGAGGCGAGUGGAAUUCCUGGUGUAGCGGUGAAAUGCGCAGAUAUCAGGAGGAACACCGAUGGCGAAGGCAGCUCGCUGGGACGGUACUGACGCUGAGACGCGAAAGCGUGGGGAGCAAACAGG
rnacentral:rRNA from 1 species